AGUAUGAUGAUGGCCACUAUCCUGAGCUCAGCGAUGAUGAGCGGAUUCCUGUCUGAU
rnacentral:snoRNA from 1 species